UCCUGCUAGCCUCCCCCCCCCUUCAAAUCAAUAAAACCUUGUGUAACCAAAGUUCCUGUGAUAACUCCCUUUACUAACUCCUCCCCCACUACCUUUGUGCCAGUUAACAGCUAUAUGCCACGUAUAGCUAAAUGGAGGAUCAGUGGUUUAGAACUGAUAGAAACUUCUCACUCCCCCCUCCCAUCGUGUAUCCAGAAGUCUAUAAUGAUGACACUACAUCCUGUAGGGGGGUUUAAACAAGAGCCCCUUUCUCUGUUAACCAAUUGGUGAAUGUAUACUGUAUGUUUAAACUGUGACGUAUUUUUGCUUUAAGAAGGAGCCCCCACUCCGGGGAAUAAAGCAUUCCUGAG